rnacentral:piRNA from 1 species
UUAAAAUCAAACCUAAAGGCCAUUGAACA